rnacentral:rRNA from 1 species
UAUGUGAUCGUCUCUCGCAUAUCAAUAAGCGGAGGAAAAGAAACUAACAAGGAUUCCCCUAGUAACGGCGAGUGAAGCGGGAAGAGCUCAAAUUUGAAAUCUUAAAGGGUUUCCCUUUACGAAUUGUAGUUUAAAGAAGUGUUUUCUGUUGAGGUUUUGGUAAAAGUUCUUUGGAAUAGGACAUCAUAGAGGGUGAGAAUCCCGUAUUUGACCUUUACUUUCAACUUUGUGAUACACUUUCAAAGAGUCGGAUUGUUUGGGAAUGCAGUCCAAAAUGGGUGGUAAAUUUCAUCUAAAGCUAAAUAUUGGCGAGAGACCGAUAGCGAACAAGUACCGUGAGGGAAAGAUGAAAAGAACUUUGAAAAGAGAGUUAAACAGUACGUGAAAUUGUCAAAAGGGAAGCGUUUGACACCAGUGUUGUUUUUCUGAAAAUCAAUUAAAGAACUGUUUAUGCUAAGCUGUUUAGACUUUAUCAGCUAAUCUGUUUAGUUUUGAGCUUUUCUUUAAUGCACUUUUCAGUUAACAAGUCAACAUCAAUUUCUUUUGCUGUAAAAAAGCUUGAGGAAGGUGGCUUGAGAUUCGUCUUAAGUGUUUAUAGCCUCUUGCCUAUGCAGUCGGAGAGAUUGAGGUCUGCAGCGUAGAUCCUUCGGGGCUAAAUGCAUUUGUGCUAAGUUAUAGCAUUUUAUAGACAACUUGUUGACUAUGAUUUGUCUUGUAGCUUACUCGCUUAUGUUAUUUUACCUACGCUUAGGAUGUUGAUCUACAGAGCGAGAGU